AAACUUACUGUGAUGUGAAUAGCAGAGAACCACUAAGCACAAGAAGAGACUGUCUCUCGAAUUUCCUUUCAGGGGCUGUAGAUAAAUUCUCCUCCUAAAGUUAGACUGAAAUGCGUGCUGGCUGCCUGGCUGUUUCUGCUAUAGCUUACAUUCAGGUCCAUCCAGGCUUCCGAACUCCAUUCCUAUUUUCAUGGAUGCUAUUGUCUGUGUUGCUGCCUUAUGGCUGAGUCUGAAGCUUCUCUCAACAUGAUGGUAUUGGGAGGUGAUUUGAUUCUCUGGGCAGAGCCCUCAUAAGCCAUAAUAGGAAGAGACCCACAGAGCUUUCCCUACCUUUCCACUCUAGGAAGGCAUAUGGAGAAGGCAUCCUAGAUAAACCAGAAAGUGGAUUAACUAGAUACCAACUACGCAGGCAUUUUGAUCUGGGACUUCUUCUAUUCAAAACUGAGACAUGAAUGUCAGUUUAUAAGCCACCCUGUCUGGGGGUAUUUUGUCAGAAUAGCGUGAGCUGAUCAAGACGGGUGGAUACUACUUAUGUUUUUUAAUCCAACAUGAAAGCUUUUGCAAGUGACAAAAGUCAUGAUACUUUUAGGUGAUGCUUUAUUAUUCAUGUAGUGUAUCUAUUGAUAGCUAUAGCUGUAUAUACAUAUAAUUAUAUAUACAUAAUUAUCAUCUAUCUGUAUCUAUGUAUCUAUUGCCUAUCUCUACCUGUCAUCUAUCUAUCUAUCUAUCUAUCUAUCUAUCUAUCUAUCUAUCUAUCUAUCAUCCAUCUAUCUGUCCAUCAUCUAUCGAUCUAUCGAUCUAUACGUAUAUAUAUCUCAUCUAUUUAUCUAUCAUCUAUCUAUCUAUCUAUCUAUCUAUCUAUCUAUCUAUCUAUCUAUCUAUCUAUCAUCUAUCUAUCUAUCUAUCAUCUAUCUAUCUAUCUAUCUAUCUAUCUAUCUAUCUAUCAUGUGUCCAUCUAUCUGUCCAUCAUCUAAUGGACUUACCUAUACAUCUUCCCAGUACACCAGCUAUAAAUUUAUGGUGGGUAGACAUGUUUGUGGGACACUUAUCAGUCCUGCAACUACCUACUUAACCCACAUAACAAAAAGAAACAGGCAGGCAGCAGAUUAGGACAGGCCUGGUGGGCUCCAGGAGGGAGAGCAAUGCCCCUCAGCUAACAGCAAGGCAUUCCCCCAAUUGCAAUCUCAUUAAACUCCACACAGGCUGGGGAUGCAUUCAGCCACUGCUUUUAGUUUUAUUUUCAGGAAAAGGACAGUAGAGAUCCAGUGAGAUUUGCCGUUUUUCAAGGUCACACACGGACAGCAUGGUAAAGAGGUAGAACGCUGGCCGUCUCCAUUCUCCACACACUGCACUGCCUGAGAGGUGAUUUCUGUCAGAGUGGAGGACGCUGGGCAGCUGACCCCUGUCAGAGAGCCUCACUCUCUUGGGAAAUUUUACAGGGCCUUUCCAAUUCCUCCACACCACAGUUAAGCAUCUAAAUGAUUCCAUUACAGCUUUUAAUACCCUCCGUCUCCCACCAAAUCAAGGCAGGAAAAAUAUGUAAAGUCUCUAGGGGAAACAGCCAACCAUUUCCUUUCUUAUUUCUCUAUGAAUGAAGCGGUUGCUGGGCUUUG
rnacentral:lncRNA from 1 species